GGCAGCAGUGGGGAAUAUUGGACAAUGGGCGAAAGCCUGAUCCAGCAAUACCGCGUGAGUGAUGAAGGCCUUAGGGUUGUAAAGCUCUUUCAGUAGGGAAGAUAAUGACGGUACCUACAGAAGAAGCACCGGCUAACUCCGUGCCAGCAGCCGCGGUAAUACGGAGGGUGCUAGCGUUGUUCGGAAUUACUGGGCGUAAAGAGCGCGUAGGCGGUUUUGUAAGUUGGUAGUGAAAUCCCAGGGCUUAACCCUGGAACUGCUAUCAAAACUGCAGAACUAGAGUAUGGUAGGGGAUAGUGGAAUUCCUAGUGUAGAGGUGAAAUUCGUAGAUAUUAGGAGGAACACCAGAGGCGAAGGCGACUAUCUGGGCCAUUACUGACGCUAAGGCGCGAAAGCGUGGGGAGCAAACAGGAUUAGAUACCCUGGUAGUCCACGCCGUAAACGAUGGGUGCUAGAUGUCGGGAGCUUGACUUUCGGCGUCGUAGUUAACGCGUUAAGCACCCCGCCUGGGGAGUACGGUCGCAAGAUUAAAACUCAAAGGAAUUGACGG
rnacentral:rRNA from 1 species